rnacentral:rRNA from 1 species
CAGCUUGUUGGUGGGGUAACGGCCUACCAAGGCGACGACGGGUAGCUGGUCUGAGAGGACGAUCAGCCACACUGGGACUGAGACACGGCCCAGACUCCUACGGGAGGCAGCAGUAGGGAAUCUUGCGCAAUGGGGGAAACCCUGACGCAGCGACGCCGCGUGCGGGAUGAAGGCCUUCGGGUCGUAAACCGCUUUCAGCAGGGACGAAAUUGACGGUACCUGCAGAAGAAGGCCCGGCCAACUACGUGCCAGCAGCCGCGGUGAUACGUAGGGGUCUAGCGUUGUCCGGAAUUAUUGGGCGUAAAGAGCUCGUAGGCGGUUCGGCAAGUCGGAUGUGAAAUCUCCACGCUUAACGUGGAGGGGCCAUUCGAAACUGCCGUGACUCGAGUCCGGUAGGGGAGUGCGGAAUUCCCGGUGUAGCGGUGAAAUGCGCAGAUAUCCGG